ACUGCCUAAUGGAGCAGAGAGUCUGUGUGUUUUGAUGUGCUUUUAUCAUUGAGGAUAUGAAUGUCUUUGCAUGUACAUUAUUUAUGUCGUAGCGUUCUGCACGGUGUUAACAUGUCCUGGGAGCUUCCCCUCUUAGACUACUGCAUUCUGGAAGCUUCUCACAGAGAAGGGAGGGGUGGGAAAUCUGGAUGUAAGAUGGAGAAAUGGGGAUGGGGAGAGCAGAAGCAUAGCGUGGGCUUGGGGAAUGUGGAAAGAAGGGAAGAGUGAACACAUGAGAAAGAGAGAGAAACAUGAGGACAGGCAGAGGAGGGCAAGAGAGAAAGGGAGUGUGGUGGGUGGAAAGGGGUAGAGCGAGAGAUGAGGAGGCAAGAACGAUGCCGCCUUUUUUGUGAUGGCACAAAGUGUGGCAGCAGCGGCAAGACAGGGAGCGAUGAGAAAGGUAGAAAUGAAAAGGAAGGACUGAGCGAGCUCGACGGGAUUCCCAAACAGGAAUAACUGAGCAGAUGGAAGAAGGAUCUUCUAGAGGAUUGACCACAGGCAGGAAGCCUUCAGAAACGACUCAUAAUGGCAUGUAAAUGAAAAGAAAAAGGCCCACAUUUGAGGGAAUCUUACGAUUGAAAGCACUGCAAUACGAUGUGAGAUGAAAAAUGCAAAUUUCAAGCCAAAGAAAGUGCAUCCAGCAGACAAUGCUGGAAAAGUGACAAAAACGCAGCUCCAAUUAAACAUUGAUGCUGAGAGGAAAGACGGCAGAAACUGUGGUUCAUACAGCGGAGAAGAAACCAGAUGGACGAUAACUUCUGCUGUGUGACUUCUGAAGAAACGGGAGAACCUCUUUGCACAACGAUCGAGUGCAUACGAGUGGAUGUUCAAUAAGACAAGACGGGGGUUUUUGAGGGAUAUGUGUUCCAUGCCAGGCAGCAGGGGGAAGUCAAAAGAAGGAAAUUAAGAAGGAAGUGAGCAUGCUCAUCAAAACAAUACAAACAUAUGUGCUGGACUGAUAGUCUUAACUAAGUCUGACUGCAGCUACACACCACUUCCAGAUGAGAUGGAUCAACACACCUGAGGCAAAAUUUCCAUCUUUUCCGUUCUGACUAGAUUGCAGCUGUUUUUCAUCACAGAUCUUAUUUCAGAAAUUUGACACAAAGAGGACAAUCUGAAGAAGUACCUGCAUGAGCAUUUUUACACUCCUAUUUUUUUGGACACAUUGUUAAUGUCAGUAAAACAUUAAGUUAGGAAUUGCUUUAUAGUAGUAAUAUUGUAGGAUGAUAUAAAGCUCCAGUUGCAGGAGUAAGGAUGAAGGAGCGAGUGCUGUCAGAUUGCAUGGAUGUAGACAGGGCUGUAUCUGAGCGUAUCUUACUGUAACCCCAGCGUCUGUGCGCGCCGUGUGACUUGGAUUUUUCACAAACGACGGAACUCAACCUGAACACCAGGGAGGAGAAACUCAAGAAAAGUGGAGACGAAAAGACCGAAAACAUGGUUGGAUAAAAAACAAAAAGUGCAAUUUGAGGUUGCUGUCUGCAAACUGCUGUAAUCUGCAGUUCUCCCUCAGGAUUAUCUGACAAAAAUCCAUAGGGUAAAAGGAGAUCUCGAUGCAACCCGCAUCGUGCCUUUUGGGGGUAGGGUUCUGUGAUAGUAACCAUGUUCCCCAGCGGCCGUUAUGUCUGCAGCGCUCAUGCAAGAGAGGACGACUCUACAAAUGAUCGAGAAGAGCGGAUCUUAGCUGUGCUGGGAAUCAUUGGAACCAUUCUCAACCUUUUAGUGGUUAUAUUUGUCUAUAUCUAUACCUCUGUGACCUAGUGUGUUUUAUAAGACUUUAGAUUACAUUUCCUCACACUGCCGCCUUCCCUUUUUUGGGGUUUAGUCUUUAAAGUUGGUGUUCUUAGUAAACACAGAUAAUCAUUAAGAGUAUUUGGCUGAUUGAAGCUGGAUUUGUUCACAUCACUGCCACUUUUCUAUGUUCAGCAAUAAAGGGAACAAAGCACAAUUGG